rnacentral:rRNA from 1 species
AUUGAACGCUGGCGGCAUGCUUUACACAUGCAAGUCGAACGGCAGCGGGGACUUCGGUCCGCCGGCGAGUGGCGAACGGGUGAGUAAUGCAUCGGAACGUGCCUAUCAGUGGGGGAUAACGCUUCGAAAGGAGUGCUAAUACCGCAUAUUCUCUGAGGAGAAAAGCAGGGGACCUUAGGGCCUUGCGCUGAUAGAGCGGCCGAUGUCGGAUUAGCUAGUUGGUGAGGUAAAGGCUCACCAAGGCGACGAUCCGUAGCGGGUCUGAGAGGAUGAUCCGCCACACUGGGACUGAGACACGGCCCAGACUCCUACGGGAGGCAGCAGUGGGGAAUUUUGGACAAUGGGCGAAAGCCUGAUCCAGCCAUGCCGCGUGAGUGAAGAAGGCC